GUAGAUAUUAGAUUCGAGUUCUGUUAAUUGUCUUUUAGGUUUUUCUUUUAUACCUGUAAACUGGACUGGCUCCUGAAUUAUUCUACUGUCCUGAAAUAUCUAGCUACAAAUCUCCAAAUUAACAUUUUCAAUUUUUUCCAUCAUUUUCAUUUGGAAUCAUUGAGAACUAAAAUCAUACUUGUUUCUGAAGCCCUGCAAACUGAAGGUGGAUAAUUUGACAUAAACUUUGUAGAGAUCACCACGGUAGCAUGCCUGUUGCUGUAUAAGUUACUCAAAGGAUACCUGAACGCCCGAUGACAUCAUCAGAGUCAUUUCAAACUGCAAAAGAAAUGCUUCCUAUUAAAUACCUGAUUUCUUGCUUAUACAAUGUAGGCCUAACUUUGGGAGCCCACCUGCAUCACUGCCUCCUGAAAUGAAUUUAACUGGACUGACCUGUCCCCAGGACUAAGAGACGUGUUCACUGAGAUGGAACAAUCUACAAACUCAGCUUCUGGACCGUGAAGCUUCUGACAGUUUCAAAGCUGGGACUGUGGGGAAUCAGAAUUGGUCACCCCAAUUGGCCACUCUCUUUGCCUUGAGUAUUUUUAAGAACAAAAGACUCUGAAAGAAACUUUGACCUUCCCCCUUUGAAAGGUCAAUUUCACUGAUUGAAAGUAAGAGACUAACUGCCUAAAAGAAUUUAAGAUAGAAGGCCUGUUCCAGGAAGGAGCUAAUACCAUGAGAUAACUAGGGUAUAAUGUAAAAUGGGUGUGCUAGAAAGGCACCAGCAAGGCCAUUUUUAUCAAAGACCUGUCUCUUGGGUCACAUUCUCUACAGAUGGCCCAGCAAAGGAUUGUUUAACAAACAUUUGCAUUUCCGUCUCCAUGUGAAUUGUCUUCCACCCCUCUGAAGUCCCAAACCACUAACCCCAAGAUCCUGCUUUGUCUUUAACUGAGGAUGAUUUUUAAGGAGGUGUCUUUGGCCAUUUUGGCCAGUUACUCGGUUUUCCUGGGGUUUUCCCAUGUAUGCACGCUAUUAAACUUUGUUUUCUCCUGUUA